AAACGACUCUCGGCAACGGAUAUCUCGGCUCUCGCAUCGAUGAAGAACGUAGCGAAAUGCGAUACUUGGUGUGAAUUGCAGAAUCCCGUGAACCAUCGAGUCUUUGAACGCAAGUUGCGCCCGAAGCCCCUCGGGCCAAGGGCACGUCUGCCUGGGUGUCACGC
rnacentral:rRNA from 1 species